UCAAAUUAAGAUUUUAAGAUUAACUGAGGCAAACAAACGGUUAAAGAAAGAGGACAAUGAAGAGAUGUAUGGUGAGACGUAUAUAUUGUGAAAUACUUGGACGUACCUCCUCCUUUGGCUGUGUGAAUACUAUAAACCUGACACAAGAAAAAUUUUUGGAGAAGAGAAUUGGCAUCUGUGUAUGAUUUCCCAUUUCUCUGGAGAAGAAAUAUAAGAGCAGGGAAUUCCUGAGUAACAACUCUCAGAGAAGAAUCAACUCAUUGCAAUUGCAUCUUAUCCACUGACCAGUGACUCAGAAGACAGUGGAGUGGCCUGUCUGAGUCACGUGGACACCCCCAAAUGUAACGUGGAGUCUACACACUUGCAUUCCACGGACUGACAAGAACUUGCUGCAAAACAAAAUCCGGAUGCAAAUACCACGAAUGGGGAACCUGAGCCUGAGGCAGAAACAACAAACUCCCACUACAUAAUUUAUGUUGGUUGUUUCUAUAAGGUGAGCACCCUGAGCUUUCUCAUUUGUGAAAUGGGAAGAAUAACAAUAUCUAUUCAAGUGUUAUUAUGAGGAUUUGGUGAGACAAUGUGUGUAAAAGCACUAUGGUGGUCCCAUGGGGGCUCGGUGGAAGGGAGCCCUUUGACCCUAA